AUCGAUUAACCACCUCAUGAAGAGUGUUCUGUUUGAAGAUCCGGAUCCGCUAAUGCUUUUGAUGCAAUAAAGACCCGGAUUCGAAUCAUUCGAUGAAGACCCAUAUUCAAUGAAGAGAAAGAUUGUGGUGGUGUAUUGGCGGUGUGGGGGUCAAAAGGUUCGAUUUGUUUUUCUUGGGGGGGGGGGGGGUUCUUCCGGUGGUGGUGGGUUUGACGGCGACUGUGGUGGUGGGUUUUGACGGCAGUGGAGCCUGGCGAUGGUUUCCUUCCUGUUGGUUCGGGUUUCACGGCACGGGUUAGCUCGAUCAAACAGACAACUCGGUCAACUGUCGGGUGCACUCGGUCAAAGCUGGUCAGCCGUUUCAGUCACGGUUCAGUCUUGCUUCGGGUUCGGGUCAGCGGGUUAACUUGUAUUUAUAAUUUGUUGCUUCGGGUUCGGGUUAGCGGGUUAACUUGUAUUUAUUAAUUGUAAACGUAGAAUCAUAUGUUUAUGUUGUUUCGUUUAUUGUGUAUUGAAUUUUGAAAAUUAUAACGACAACUUGUAUU
rnacentral:lncRNA from 1 species